rnacentral:lncRNA from 1 species
CACACACAUCACUCAAAAAUCAUAAAACCUAUAAAUCUGUUACAUCUCACUCACAAAUCACAAACACCCAUCUUUGAUCAUUCUCGACUGCUAUCGUAAGAGAUGAUUCCAUCUGAAGUUCUACAGCACACCCAUCUCGAUCGCUUCAUCUACGGAUGAAAAUCUCACAUCUGCGCUUCAAUUAAGUUUUUUCAGGGAGAUUGAAGAGGAAUGGGGCGAAAUUGGGGGUUAGGGUAUUGGUGUAUUGUCCAUUCAAUUGAUUGGAGGAGGGUUUGGAUUGAGGUUUGAAGGGGUGUGGAAAGAGGUGGGGUUUGUCUGGCAUAACUACUGGUCUUUGGUUUUCAAACAUAGACUGAAACCCAUUCGUUAUCUUUACUGCUAAUGUGCUCCUCUUGUAAUACUACUGGUUAUAAGUUGUUAUUAUAAUUUAUAUUCAUGUGAUUUCCCUCAUCCUUAUCUUUACUCGUAUGUAAUUAAAUGACUUGAAAUGUUAGUGAAGUCCAUUCAGGUUAGUUUAUUUUCUUCCAUUUGCGUUGAAGUUCAAUGACCCACCCUUUGUCAUACUACUUGGAGGUCGCGGGUCAAAGUGUCGAACCUAUCCUCUUACUUCUUAUGUUUAUACUUAGACAAAAUUUUAGCUAUAGAUGUAGGUAAAUAUGCAUCCAAUGGAAAUUAGGGAUAGGAUAUUAAUUAGGGGUAAAUGUGUCUUUGCCUAUUAAUUAUGUUUAUUUGAGGUAUAUUGCUUCAUCAGUUGCCAUUUUAGAAAAUUCAAGGGAGACAAUUUAGAAGAACAAUCAUGUAGUCUUGAAAGAAACUUGGAUUAUAUUACAAAAGUUGGUUAAAAGUUCUUUGAUAAAGUAUGGAGAAUAUAUGAUUGAACCAGAAGCAUCGAGUUUGAGCGUAUUUUUUUAAAUACAAGAUUGAAUGACUUGACAAAUGUAAGGCAUUCAUGUGUUGAGACAAGGCAAAAAAUAUCAAGAAGACGGCGACGACCGAGGUAACUACGACAUGUUAUAACUUCUUUGGCACCAGACAGAGCACUGCAAUUCCCAUGUAUUUUACUUAAGCCGGGUUAAAGACUCAAGAGGAGUUUCUUGGUUUAAAAAGUGGGAACUUUUGUUGUCACUAAUUCAUUGUUUUUCAGGGGCGCAGUGGUGGUGAUCUCUACGGAGCUUACGGUAGUUAUUCUUCUGGACGCAGUGGUAGUGCUGGGGUUUAACUCUUGCUGAUCAGACCACAUAUGAUGCAAAAGUUGUUGGGUUUGACCAAGAUAAAGAUGUUGCAGUACUGCGUAUCGAUGCGCCGAAAGAUAAACUGAGACCAAUACUAGUUGGUGUGUCUGCAGACUUGCUUGUUGGGCAAAAGUGUUUGCUAUAGGAAACCCCUAUGGGGGCUGCGGCGGUGCGGGCAUGGCGUCAGAGAUGGCAGUGGAUGGUGUCGUUUACUUUUCACCAAAACUACAACUUCAAGAAGCCUUUCCUCUACCUUGCUAGGGAACUUUCUGGGAUGCAAAUUUACACUUUGCCCAGUUUACUGUGAUUGCUCCACCAGAGUACAAAUUGGCAUGGUUGCUCAGCCAGUAAGUUUUGCUUUCGGACUGUAUCAGUUAUGGGUUGUUGGUUAUUUGGUUUAUGGCGCAUCAUUGUGUCUUUGAAGACAUGAAACCGAGCUUGCAGUGGCUGCAAACCAGCCUCCUCUGGAUGAUGAUUGUUAAUCACAUUUAUAAUUGACAGCGAAGUUGGUGUUAAUUUGGUUUUUUCUAAUAUUCAAGAGUUGUUGAGAGAGAGAUUCUUAUUUUCUUUUGAAUGAUGAGAUUGUAUGGACAUGUCCAAUUUUAUGAGGACUGUAUGUUUUUACAACAUACAUUGUAUAUUUUUUUAUUAAAGUGUUGGUUGCACUUGGAUU